UUUAGACACUGCAGGCGCUGCUGCUGAGAAUUUGAGUCUCGACACAAACCACGGAAGAAACUCGCAAACGCAAAAAGAUGAAGAUGAGUCUUCACUGCAGCCGGUUAACUCCGCCUUGAACGUAGAUGACGCUCCACCACCUCUCCAAACUGCGGAAUCAGGAUUAUCCAGCUCCACCGUGGCCCUGAACCCCACAGAUCCAAGUCCAACAGAGCAGGAAGAGAUUGUUUAUUCACCUAUCAAGGUAAGACUGAAGGUAUUUCUGGCCUCCAGCAGCAACUUUGUCUUUAUUUAG